AACAAUCAAUAUUUGUAAUAGAAAGAUGGCAUCUUCAAUGAGAGUGGCAGUUUUUCUUGGCAUGAUUGCAGCUCUUAUUUCAAUAGUAGCUGCUACAGAACCCGCUACUUUAUCUAUCGAUCUUAGUCACAUUCCCACAAACGAAACUCAACUUCUUACCGAAAACAGUGGUAAUUUAAUUUCCCUAUUUUUCUCUUCAUUAUUAUUUUAUUCUUUAAAUAUCAUUAUUUUUAUUGAUAUCUUAAUAUUAAUUCAUCAUGUUUUAGAUGGUCACAGUUUUUAUUCAUUUAUCUAUACUUUUGUUUGCAAAAUGUAGGUGCUGCUUCAUAUGAUCAAGCAAUUGCUAGUGUCCUAAUGUUGGUGGCUUUGGUGUUUACCUACCUCUUUCAUUAAAUGAAGGUCAAGGAAUCCCGCUGUUAUGGUGAUAAUAAGAGAGACACAUUAUUUAUUGUAACACCACAUGGGAAUAUUUUUGUUGACUAAAUAAUUAUUUUUUCAUUCUUUUUUUACAAGAGCAAUACACUACAAUUGAAAACAAAAAGAU
rnacentral:lncRNA from 1 species